rnacentral:rRNA from 1 species
GAUGAACGCUGGCGGCGUGCCUAAUACAUGCAAGUCGAGCGAACGGACGAGAAGCUUGCUUCUCUGAUGUUAUCGGCGGACGGGUGAGUAACACGUGGAUAACCUACCUAUAAGACUGGGAUAACUUCGGGAAACCGGAGCUAAUACCGGAUAAUAUUUUGAACCGCAUGGUUCAAAAGUGAAAGACGGUCUUGCUGUCACUUAUAGAUGGAUCCGCGCUGCAUUAGCUAGUUGGUAAGGUAACGGCUUACCAAGGCAACGAUGCAUAGCCGACCUGAGAGGGUGAUCGGCCACACUGGAACUGAGACACGGUCCAGACUCCUACGGGAGGCAGCAGUAGGGAAUCUUCCGCAAUGGGCGAAAGCCUGACGGAGCAACGCCGCGUGAGUGAUGAAGGUCUUCGGAUCGUAAAACUCUGUUAUUAGGGAAGAACAUAUGUGUAAGUAACUGUGCACAUCUUGACGGUACCUAAUCAGAAAGCCACGGCUAACUACGU